rnacentral:snRNA from 1 species
GUGCUUGCUUCGGCAGCACAUAUACUAAAAUUGGAACGAUACAGAGAAGAUUAGCAUGGCCCCUGCACAAGGAUGACAUGCAAAUUGGUAAAGCGUUCCAUAUUUUU